rnacentral:rRNA from 1 species
UACGUAGGGUGCAAGCGUUAAUCGGAAUUACUGGGCGUAAAGCGUGCGCAGGCGGCUUUGCAGGACAGAUGUGAAAUCCCCGGGCUUAACCUGGGAACUGCAUUUGUGACUGCAUGGCUAGAGUGCGGCAGAGGGGGAUGGAAUUCCGCGUGUAGCAGUGAAAUGCGUAGAUAUGCGGAGGAACACCGAUGGCGAAGGCAAUCCCCUGGGCCUGCACUGACGCUCAUGCACGAAAGCGUGGGGAGCAAACAGG